AAAAGAAAAUGUGAGGUUUAUAAUGGAGGCUUGACAAGUUCUGAAAUAAAAUACUCACUUGAUGAGCAGAGCAAAGCACAGGUGUCACCCAGGCCUCUCUGCUCACUGAACUCCCAGUGAAAAGCUGAACUCCCAGACUCUUGCUCUCUGCGGCAUGGACCAAAGAGAAAUUCUGCAGCAGCUACUGAAAGAGGCCCAGAAAAAGAAACUUAACAAUGAGGAGUUUGCCAACGAAUUUCUGAAGCUGAAAAGGCAAUCUACCAAGUACAAGGCAGACAAAAUAUAUCCUACAACUGUGGCUCAGAGGCCCAAGAAUAUCAAGAAAAACAGAUACAAGGAUAUUUUGCCCUAUGAUCACAGCCUGGUAGAGCUGUCUCUGUUAACUUCUGAUGAGGACUCCAGUUAUAUCAAUGCCAGCUUUAUUAAGGGUGUCUAUGGACCCAGGGCUUAUAUUGCCACCCAGGGUCCUUUAUCUACAACUCUGCUGGACUUCUGGAGGAUGAUCUGGGAAUACCGUGUCUUGGUCAUUGUAAUGGCAUGUAUGGAGUUUGAAAUGGGAAAGAAAAAGUGUGAGCGUUAUUGGGCUGAGCCAGGAGAAACACAGCUGCAAUUUGGCCCCUUUUCCAUAUCCUGUGAAGCUGAGAAAAAGAAAUCUGAUUAUAAAAUCAGGACUCUGAAGGCCAAGUUCAAUAGUGAAACACGCAUUAUUUACCAGUUUCAUUAUAAGAACUGGCCAGACCAUGAUGUGCCUUCAUCUAUAGACCCCAUUCUUCAGCUCAUCUGGGAUAUGCGUUGUUAUCAAGAAGAUGAUUGUGUUCCUAUAUGUGUUCAUUGCAGUGCCGGCUGCGGAAGGACAGGUGUCAUUUGUGCUGUUGAUUAUACAUGGAUGUUGCUGAAAGAUGGGAUAAUUCCUAAGAACUUCAGUGUUUUUAAUUUGAUUCAAGAAAUGCGAACUCAGAGGCCUUCGCUAGUUCAAACUCAGGAACAAUACGAACUGGUCUACAGUGCCGUGUUAGAACUGCUGAAGAGGCACAUGGAUAUCAUCUCUGAUAAUCACUUUGGAAGAGAGAUUCAAGCAGAAUGCUCAAUUCCUGAACAAAUUCUCACUAUAGAAGCUGACUCUUUUCCUCUGGAUUUUCCAAAAAGUGCCAUGAGAGAUGCGAAAAUAACAAACCCACAGAGCAAGCAAGGGCCUGAGGCGGAGAGCGCCCAAGUGUCUUCCUUUGGCCUUAGGACUUCUAAGAUAAGUGCCAAGGAAGAGUUGAUUUUGCACUCGGCUAAAUCAAGCCCUUCUUUGGACUGGUUAGAGCUAAACUGCGGGUGUAGCAACGAGGCUGUCAUAACCAGGAAUGGGCAGGCAAGGGCUUCUCCAGUCAUGGGAGAGCCCCUUCAGAAGUAUCAAAGUCUAGAUUUCGGUUCCAUGUUGUUUGGGUCGUGUCCCAGUGCUCUGCCCGUAAACGCGGUGGGCAGGUGUCACAAUUCAAAGGGGCCAGUAAAACGGACCAAAUCAACUCCUUUUGAACUGAUUCAGCAGAGAAAAACAGACCAGUUAGCCGUGGAAGACGGUUCUUCAUGCUUGGAAUCUCAACUGCAUGAGCAUUGUCUCAUGGAGGUACAAAGAACGGCUCAUGCUUCUUCAGAAGAACUGAAUUAUUCACUGCCGCGUGCCUGUGAGCGCCCGACGUGUGAUGCCACUUGUGUACCGCAGCACAGCCCCGGCGCUCUGAGAGGGCAUUUGUGCAUGUCUUUAGCAGAAGAUCCUUAUUUUUCGUCAUCCCCUCCAAAUAGUGCUGAUUCUAAGAUGUCUUUUGAUCUGCCUGAGAAACAAGAUGGAGCCACUUCUGGGGCUCUGUUGCCAGCCUCUUCUUCAACCUCCUUUUCUUAUUACAACCCACACGAUUCUUUACCUGCGAGCACUCUGACCAGCUUUUCCCCACCAUUAAACCAAGAGACAGCUAUAGAAACUACUUCUUCAAGGACAGAUGAUGAAAUCCCCCCACCACUCCCUGAACGGACACCGGAGUCUUUUAUUGUAGUUGAGGAAGCCGGAGAGCCCUCACCAAGUGUUACCGAAUCCUUACCUCUGCUGGUAACAUUUGGAGCAUCACUGGAAUGCAGUGGGACAUCUGAACUGAAGAUCCACGACUCUGUGGAGUUUCCACCAAGCAAGAAUGUGAAACUCCGAAGUUCCAAAUCAGAUCAACAUCAGGAUGAUUCUCCUCCACCUCCACUCCCAGAAAGAACUCUGGAGUCCUUCUUUCUUGCUGAUGAGGAUUGUCCAACCCAUGAAAACUUCUACUAGCUCUCCUGAGACCACAGAGAACUCCACAUUUUCUAAACAGACAUUGAAGACCACUGGGAAAAGUUUCACAAGGAGCAAGAGUUUGAAGAUUUUCCGAAAUAUGAAAAAGAGUGUUUGUAAUUCUUCCUCACCAAGCAAGCCCACAGAAUGUGUUCAGCCGAAAAAUUCCAGUUCCUUUCUGAAUUUUGGUUUCGGAAAUCGUUUUUCAAAACCCAAAGGACCAAGGAGCCCACCAUCAACUUGGAAUAUUUAACACACCUCAGGAUUUAUAAGAAUAUUUGUUAAAAUUGUACCUGCAAAUAAAGCUACUAGAAUACUGGUAUAAUAAUAAUAUCAAUAAUGAAGAUAUAUUGUGUCAAUAGUCUUGAAAAGGAAAGCAAUAUGUGAAAAACUUCCAGCCACUUUGCAUUUUCAUAUUUCUCAUAUUUUAUUGGGAACUGCCAAUAAAGUUUGUACUUCAGUUUA